CGUGGGUAACCUGCCCAAGAGACUGGGAUAACACCUGGAAACAGAUGCUAAUACCGGAUAACAACACUAGACGCAUGUCUAGNGUUUAAAAGAUGGUUCUGCUAUCACUCUUGGAUGGACCUGCGGUGCAUUAGCUAGUUGGUAAGGUAACGGCUUACCAAGGCAAUGAUGCAUAGCCGAGUUGAGAGACUGAUCGGCCACAUUGGGACUGAGACACGGUCCAAACUCCUACGGGAGGCAGCAGCC
rnacentral:rRNA from 1 species